rnacentral:rRNA from 1 species
UACGUAGGGUCCGAGCGUUGUCCGGAAUUACUGGGCGUAAAGCGUGCGCAGGCGGCUUCUUAGGCCUGACGUGAAAGCCCCGGGCUCAACCCGGGAGGGUCGUCGUGAACCGGGGGGCUUGAGGCCGGUAGAGGUGGGUGGAACUCCUGGUGGAGUGGUGAAAUGCGUAGAGAUCGGAAAGAACACCAACGGCGAAAGCACUCUGCUGGGCCGACACUGACACUGAGAGACGAAAGCUAGGGGAGCGAAUGGG